ACUUGUAAGAGAAUUGUGAUUCUCUUGUUGUAAGGAACUUGUGUUUCCUUGGUUGAAGUCUUGGAGUGUUGUAUCUCCGAGCAAAGGUGUUAAGGCUUGGGUCCUUAAAGUUGUAAAGGUUUGUUGAGAACCCGUAAGCUUGACAAGUUAGUGGAAAAUCUCGAGAGAGUCUCUCGGGGACUGGACUAGCCACGUGUUGUGGUGAACCAGAAUA
rnacentral:lncRNA from 1 species